UGCGUAACAGGUGUGCAAUCUGUCCAUAGUCGGGGGAUAGCCCAGCGAAAGCUGAAUUAACACUCCAUGUGAAUCGAAGCCGCAUGACUUUGAUUUGAAACGUAAGGACUAUGGGUGAGCACGCUUCUGAUUAGGUAGUUGGUGGGGUAACGGCCCACCAAGCCGACGAUCAGUAGGGUCUGAGAGGAAGGUCCCCCACAUUGGAACUGAGACACGGUCCAAACUCCUACGGGAGGCAGCAGUGAGGAAUAUUGGUCAAUGGGCGAGGAGCCUGAACCAGCCGAAGUCGCGUGAAAAGGAUGAAGGUUCUAUGGAUUGUAAACUUCUUUUGUCCGAGGGUAAAAAAGGCCACGUGUGGCUUCUUGCAAGUAUCGGACGAAUAAGCAUCGGCUAACUCCGUGCCAGCAGCGGC
rnacentral:rRNA from 1 species